rnacentral:lncRNA from 1 species
CCUGGUCUAGUUCGGUUCAAAAUUUGCAAGGCCCGGUCCAAUUUUUAUUGGGAUUACAUAUUCUCAUACCCGGUCCGAUCUAAACAUAGCUACAGUACAUAUGUUAUGGUUUUUUUUUUUUUUUGGAGUUUUUGUUCUAUAGAUCCGUAAUGUGCAAACAAUUUAGGGAUCAGUAUGUUUUUUAACAAAGCUAAAUAUAUUCAAAUAGAUACAAGGAUUAUUAACGAAUAAAUAAAAUAUUACAUCUAAGUAAAGUACUGUAUAAACAAUUGCAACAAGCAAAACAUAAGACGGUAUAGUUAAAUGUUAAAAACUGAAUAUGAAUAGUUAAAAACUGGAUCCCAUCUUUUCUACAAGUAUUGUUCCCAAACAUAUUUAAAUCCCU